rnacentral:rRNA from 1 species
CCCUUAGAUGUCCGGGGCCGCACGCGCGCUACACUGAAGGAAUCAGCGUGGCUUUCUCCCUGACCCGAAAGGGUUGGGAAACCCGUUGAAUCUCCUUCGUGAUAUGGAUUGGGGCUUGAAAUUGUUCCCCAUGAACGAGGAAUUCCCAGUAAGCGCGAGUCAUAAGCUCGCGUUGAUUACGUCCCUGCCCUUUGUACACACCGCCCGUCGCUACUACCGAUUGAACGGUUUAGUGAGGGCCUCGGAUUGGUCUCGGCCCGCUCUUUACCGGGCGGCGCCGUUGGUCGAGAAGACGCUCGAACUUGAUCGUUUAGAGGAAGUAAAAGUCGUAACA